rnacentral:tRNA from 1 species
UCGGAGAUCGUCUAAUGGUAGGACAGAGGACUCUGAAUCCUCUAAUCUAGGUUCGAGCCCUAGUCUCCGAGCCA